AACCAUACAUACUCAUAGACGUUUCACGUAAAUUGUCAAGGUCAAGACAGCAAAUUAGUUACCAUUCCAAUCCAGAGAUGUCGCUGUCAGUCAAUUCUCUUGUCAUAUUUAAAACUGACAGUUGACAAUUAAAUUAAUUUGUUAUUUACUUUUUAUUUUACAGUUUGUGGCUUAAAUAUUUUAUUAUAGUGGUGUUACGUUUUUAAUUAGAUUUAAUCACAAUUUUAAUCAAUUGUAUUAACCUCCUCUCCGUUUUUGUGAGUAGAAUUUUUAGUUUACAUUGAUCAUUCCGUGUUGUGUUUCUCCACAUUUAAAAAAGAAUAUAAUAGAUCCUGAAACAGUUUAUUCUAAUAGACAAGUGUGUCAUCAACAUUUUGGGCCUAUAUAUUUUUGGAAGUUUGUAAAAGAAUAUAAGAUACUGUUACAGUCCCUGGUUGGUUUAUAGGAUAAAACAAUGGUAGUACAGUAGACUCGCGAUUAUCCUAGUCUAGGUUAUCCGAGUCCUCCGGUUAACCGAGGCAAAAGUCAGAACUGUACACCGCUCACUACAAAUUUCACAUUUAUAAGUUCUUUCACCGGUAUAAGUUUUCAAAAGUUCUUUGGGAGCACCGAAUGGUUUGGUAACUUUCCCUGAAAUAAAAACCAAAUUAUAAAUAAGGAUUUGUUUUUUACUAAAGAAAAAAACUAGACCCAAAACUAGAUGGAAGAACCAGAUAGUCGAGGACCUUAAGAAGAUGGGAGUCAGGGAAUGGGUAACCGUAAACAAAAACAGGAAAGAAUGGAGAAAACUUGUAGAAGAUGCCAAGUCACACAACCAAUUGUAAAACCAAAAUGUUAAUGCGGAUUGAUUCACUGCGACAAACGAAUCGGAAGAGCCCAAAGAGGGCGGCAGUCACUCCGCUAGGACUGUAGAUGCCAUGAUGAUGAUAAAGGUUUUUCACCAGUGCGAACUCUCAUAUGAUAAUUUAAACUACUUAGUUGAUUAAACUGUUUUGUUUAAUUUAGUACUUUGUAUUUUGACAACGACACCCGAUUUGU